CCCUCUGGACUGAGAUACCCUCGGGAAACUGAGGUCAAUCUCGGAUACUGCUUCCGUGUUGGAACACAGGAAGCUGGAAACGGUCCGCCGCCGGAGGACGUGACUGCGGCUGAUUAGGUAGACGGUGGGGUAACGGCCCACCGUGCCGAUAAUCAGUACGGGUUGUGAGAGCAAGAGCCCGGAGACGGAAUCUGAGACAAGAUUCCGGGCCCUACGGGGCGCAGCAGCCGCGAAACCUUUACACUGCACGCCAGUGCGAUAAGGGGAUCCCGAGUGCGAGGGCAUACAGUCCUCGCUUUUCGCGACCGUAAGGUGGUCGCAGAAUAAGGGCUGGGCAAGACCGGUGCCAGCCGCCGCGGUAAUACCGGCAGCCCGAGUGAUAGCCAAUUUUAUUGGGCCUAAAGCGUCCGUAGCUGGCCGAACAGGUCCGUCGGGAAAUCCACCCGCUUAACGGGUGGGCGUCCGGCGGAAACCAGUCGGCUUGGGGCCGAGAGACCAAAGGGGUACGUCCGGGGUAGGAGUGAAAUCCCGUAAUCCUGGACGGACCACCGGUUGCGAAAGCGCCUUUGGAGAACGGACCCGACAGUGAGGGACGAAAGCUAGGGUCUCGAACCGGAUUAGAUACCCGGGUAGUCCUAGCCGUAAACGAUGCUCGCUAGGUGUGACGCAGGCUACGAGCCUGCGUUGCGCCGUAGGGAAGCCGAGAAGCGAGCCGCCUGGGAAGUACGUCCGCAAGGAUGAAACUUAAAGGAAUUGGCGGGGGAGCACUACAACCGGAGGAGCCUGCGGUUUAAUUGGACUCAACGCCGGACAUCUCACCGGCACCGACAACGUGCAGUGACGGUCAGUUUGAUGAGCUUACCUGAGCCGUUGAGAGGAGGUGCAUGGCCGCCGUCAGCUCGUACCGUGAGGCGUCCUGUUAAGUCAGGCAACGAGCGAGACCCGCGUCCAUAAUUGCCAGCAGCACCCUUGUGGUGGCUGGGUACAUUAUGGAGACUGCCGUCGCUAAGACGGAGGAAGGAACGGGCAACGGUAGGUC
rnacentral:rRNA from 1 species